UGGCCUUUCUCUCUCAUAUAUACUUUUCUCUUUCUACAUAUUUAGUGGACUAGCGAUGGGUCCAAAGAUGUUUUGUGGGUUUGGGUCAAUGCUAGGAGCCAUUCCAAACUAGUGUUGUGUGAUCAGAGAUCUCAGGCUAGCAUCGUACAACCAUCUAUCCUAUAUUCGAUAAUUUUUCAUCAUGAAUCCUGAAUGUUUACAAUUG
rnacentral:lncRNA from 1 species